GAUUUCCCUAGUAACGGCGAGUGAAGAGGAAAGAGCUCAAAGUUGGAACCUGUUUGGCCUAGCUAAACCGGAUUGUAGACUGUAGAAGUGUUUUCCAGGCAAGCCGAGUAAAUAAGUCCUUUGGAACAGGGCAUCAUAGAGGGUGAGAAUCCCGUCUUUGGCUUGAGCAUUUGCCUUUUGUGAUACGCUUUCAAAGAGUCAGGUUGUUUGGGAAUGCAGCCUAAAUUGGGUGGUAAAUCUCACCUAAAGCUAAAUAUUGGCGAGAAACCGAUAGCGAACAAGUACCGUGAGGGAAAGAUGAAAAGAACUUUGAAAAGAGAGUUAAACAGUAUGUGAAAUUGUUAAAAGGGAACCGUUUGGAGCCAGACUGGCUUGUCUGUAAUCAAUCUAGGCUUCGGCCUGGAUGCACUUGCAGGCUAUGCCUGCCAACGACAAUUUGACUUGAGGGAAAAAACUAGGGGAAAUGUGGCCCACUUGUGGGUGUUAUAGUCCCUUAGAAAAUACCUUGGGUUGGAUUGAGGAACGCAGCGAAUGCUUUUUGGCGAGUUUUCCAGGAAGGUUUUCUGAGGUACUACGGUAUCAAGGUUGAUCUUUUUGGUUAUACUUCUAUUCGCUUAGGUUGUUGGCUUAAUGACUCUAAAUGACCC
rnacentral:rRNA from 2 species